rnacentral:rRNA from 1 species
GAUGAACGCUGGCGGCGUGCCUAAUACAUGCAAGUCGAGCGAAUGGAUUAAGAGCUUGCUCUUAUGAAGUUAGCGGCGGACGGGUGAGUAACACGUGGGUAACCUGCCCAUAAGACUGGGAUAACUCCGGGAAACCGGGGCUAAUACCGGAUAACAUUUUGAACCGCAUGGUUCGAAAUUGAAAGGCGGCUUCGGCUGUCACUUAUGGAUGGACCCGCGUCGCAUUAGCUAGUUGGUGAGGUAACGGCUCACCAAGGCAACGAUGCGUAGCCGACCUGAGAGGGUGAUCGGCCACACUGGGACUGAGACACGGCCCAGACUCCUACGGGAGGCAGCAGUAGGGAAUCUUCCGCAAUGGACGAAAGUCUGACGGAGCAACGCCGCGUGAGUGAUGAAGGCUUUCGGGUCGUAAAACUCUGUUGUUAGGGAAGAACAAGUGCUAGUUGAAUAAGCUGGCACCUUGACGGUACCUAACCAGAAAGCCACGGCUAACUACGUGCCAGCAGCCGCGGUAAGAC